CCUACGGGCGGCAGCAGUGAGGAAUAUUGGUCAAUGGGAGAGAUCCUGAACCAGCCAAGCCGCGUGAGGGAAGACGGCCCUAUGGGUUGUAAACCUCUUUUGUCGGAGAACAAAACCCGGGACGUGUCCCGGACUGCGUGUAUCCGAAGAAAAAGCAUCGGCUAACUCCGUGCCAGCAGCCGCGGUAAUACGGAGGAUGCGAGCGUUAUCCGGAUUUAUUGGGUUUAAAGGGCGUGUAGCCGGGAAGGCAAGUCAGAUGUGAAAUCUGGAGGCUCAACCUCCAAAUUACAUUUGAAACUGUUUUUCUUGAGUACUGGAGAGGCAGACGGAAUUCCUUGUGUAGCGGUGAAAUGCGUAGAUAUAAGGAGGAACACCAGUGGCGAAGGCGGUCUGCUGGACAGCAACUGACGGUGAGGCGCGAAAGCGUGGGGAGCAAACAGGAUUAGAUACCCUGGUAGUC
rnacentral:rRNA from 1 species